rnacentral:pre_miRNA from 1 species
UCCUGUUCCCUGAGACCCUAACUUGUGAGCUGUCUGAAUGCAAAAUCACGGGUUAGGCUCUUGGGACCUGGG